UGUUUUGAUUGGCGGGCGGACAAAAGGGAAGCGCCGUGUCAAAAACAUGGCGCUUCCCUUAUUUCCUAUCAAACUGCUGACGUUAUUCCAGCAGUGUUGCUUUAUCGCAAGUUACCGCAGAAGCGCUGGAUGCGCUUGCAGGCUUCCUCGAGAUCCGAGGUUUUCGUGGCGUAGGAGAUACGAAACGCCGGGCCGAGGCCGAAUGCGGACCCCUGCACCACCGCGACGCCUUCGGUCUCCAGAAGCUCGGUUA
rnacentral:misc_RNA from 1 species